CAGCAUGUUGCCAAGGUUUCUAGCUGGUAGUAGUCAUGGGAUCUCCACCUGCAUGUGAAAAUAAGCUAGAGAGACUCUUGACAGCACAGACCAGCAUAGUACCUGUAACUGCUACUCACCUUUUUUAUAUUU
rfam:Erinaceus europaeus unplaced genomic scaffold scaffold00297, whole genome shotgun sequence